rnacentral:rRNA from 1 species
AGAGUUUGAUCCUGGCUCAGGACGAACGCUGGCGGCGUGCUUAACACAUGCAAGUCGAGCGGAAAGGCCCUUCGGGGUACUCGAGCGGCGAACGGGUGAGUAACACGUGAGUAAUCUGCCCUUCACUCUGGGAUAGCCCUCCGAAAGGGGGAUUAAUACCGGAUACGACACGUCCCUGCAUGGGGUGCGUGUGGAAACUUUUUGGGUGGGGGAUGUGCUCGCGGCCUAUCAGCUUGUUGGUGGGGUAAUGGCCUACCAAGGCUUCGACGGGUAGCCGGCCUGAGAGGGUGACCGGCCACACUGGGACUGAGACACGGCCCAGACUCCUACGGGAGGCAGCAGUGGGGAAUAUUGGACAAUGGGCGGAAGCCUGAUCCAGCAACGCCGCGUGAGGGAUGACGGCCUUCGGGUUGUAAACCUCUUUCAGCACCGACGAAGCGAAAGUGACGGUAGGUGCAGAAGAAGGACCGGCCAACUACGUGCCAGCAGCCGCGGUAAUACGUAGGGUCCGAGCGUUGUCCGGAAUUAUUGGGCGUAAAGGGCUCGUAGGCGGUUUGUCGCGUCGGGAGUGAAAACACCGGGCUUAACUCGGUGCUUGCUUUCGAUACGGGCAGACUGGAGGUAUGCAGGGGAGAACGGAAUUCCUGGUGUAGCGGUGAAAUGCGCAGAUAUCAGGAGGAACACCGGUGGCGAAGGCGGUUCUCUGGGCAUUACCUGACGCUGAGGAGCGAAAGUGUGGGGAGCGAACAGGAUUAGAUACCCUGGUAGUCC